AGCUCCACUAGCGUAUAUUAAAGUUGCUGCAGUUAAAAAGCUCGUAGUCGGAUCUCGGGAUCGUGUCGGUGAUUUGGUUGCUUCUCCUGCGUUUCGGCGUUGGGGGUUGUGGCCGGUCAUCGGCCCUGCCGUCGAGGUCCCUACCUUUGGUGGGGUUCCACCUCGCUCGUGCAGCCCGCCGUUGCGAUUUGGCGGGUGUCCUUCAUUGGAUGCCCGUCUCGAUCGUGACCACUUGACCGUGAACAAAUCGGAGGGCUCAAAGCAGGCUCUCUAUCGCUCGAACGGUAGCGCAUGGAAUAAUGGAAGAGGACUUGGUGCCGCUUCUGUUGGUCGCACGGAGGCAGGUAAUGAUCAAGAGGGACGGACGGGGGCAGAGGUAUGUCUCGGCGAGAGGUGAAAUUCUUGGACCCUAGACAGACCCGCGAGAGCGAAAGCAUCUGCCAAGGAUGUUUCCA
rnacentral:rRNA from 1 species